rnacentral:piRNA from 1 species
UGCCAUAUUUAUUCUUUUUCAGGGAUUCC